CCUACGGGAGGCUGCAGUGGGGAAUAUUGCACAAUGGGGGAAACCCUGAUGCAGCGACGCCGCGUGAGUGAAGAAGUAUUUCGGUACGUAAAGCUCUAUCAGCAGGGAAGAAAAUGACGGUACCUGACUAAGAAGCCCCGGCUAACUACGUGCCAGCAGCCGCGGUAAUACGUAGGGGGCGAGCGUUAUCCGGAUUUACUGGGUGUAAAGGGAGCGUAGACGGCAGCGCAAGUCUGGAGUGAAAUCCCAUGGCUUAACCAUGGAACUGCUUUGGAAACUGUGCAGCUAGAGUGCAGGAGAGGUAAGCGGAAUUCCUAGUGUAGCGGUGAAAUGCGUAGAUAUUAGGAGGAACACCAGUGGCGAAGGCGGCUUACUGGACUGUAACUGACGUUGAGGCUCGAAAGCGUGGGGAGCAAACAGGAUUAGAUACCCCAGUAGUC
rnacentral:rRNA from 1 species